rnacentral:tRNA from 1 species
GUGGGUAUAGCUCAGUGGUAGAAUUCAUGCUUAGCAUGCACGAGGACCUGGGUUCAAUCCCCAGUAACUCCA